CCACCCCCCACCCAGUUUUCUCACAGAGCCGCCCAGUUGGGUGUGAAAACUAGGCCUCUGGGUUUGGGGAUUGGGUGGAGGGUGAAGGAAGCCCCACGUGUUCUUGUCUGCUGGGAGAGGGUUCAGGUGACAGGGCCUAGGCCCUGACUGCUUGGUCCGAAUCCACGCAUUGAGUGCCACCUGAUUCCCUCUCGGCCCGUGAUCCCCAGUUUCUCACCGAGGCACAGCUGCUACCGUCACCAGGCAAAGACCCAGCCACGAUGGGACCAGGCCCGUCCACGUGCUCUCCCACGCCCUCUGUGUGCUCGCUUGCAACCCCCCACAUACUCUGACAGUGGGGAGCAGAGGUGAGCGGAAGGAGGCCCCUCGCCCAUGGCACUCCUGAUGGCCCGGCACACGCUUCACCUCCCUUCCCCGUCUGCCCACAUCGCACCUCAUCCUUCUGAGGCACAGCCCCGUGGUGGCCGGGCCCCAGUGCCCUUAUCCACGGAGCACGUGGCUCCAAAUGCUAACAAUCCUGUGGGGACUGAGAGCCAGACACGCUCGGACUUGUUCCUGCAGCCAACCCACCACGCUCGACCAAAUCACGGAACCUCCACGAGCCCGUUUCCGCAUCUGCACGCGGGUAUAACAUACCCUGCCGACAGCGUGAUCUGGAUGAAGCGGGAAGACGCACGCAAAAGCUUCCAGUGGGCUGAGCGUGCGCGGUCUCUGCCGGGAGGCUCCCUGCCCCUGCCCCCCUGCGGGAGGGGGCCCCAGAAUACACCCUCGUGACCAGUG